rnacentral:rRNA from 1 species
CCUACGGGAGGCAGCAGUGAGGAAUAUUGGUCAAUGGUCGCGAGCCUGAACCAGCCAAGUCGCGUGCGGGAAGACGGCCCUAUGGAUUGUAAACCGCUUUUGUCGGGGAGCAAAAGACGCCACGCGUGGUGUUCCGAGAGUACCCGAAGAAAAAGCAUCGGCUAACUCCGUGCCAGCAGCCGCGGUAAUACGGAGGAUGCGAGCGUUAUCCGGAUUUAUUGGGGUUAAGGGGUGCGCAGGCGGAAGAUUAAGUCAGCGGUAAAAUGAAGGGGCUCAACCUCUUCGAGCCGUUGAAACUGGUUUUCUUGAGUGAGCGAGAAGUAUGCGGAAUGCGUGGUGUAGCGGUGAAAUGCAUAGAUAUCACGCAGAACUCCGAUUGCGAAGGCAGCAUACCGGCGCUCAACUGACGCUCAUGCACGAAAGUGUGGGUAUCGAACAGGAUUAGAUACCCCUGUAGUC